CAGCCGCCGCAGUAAUACAGAGGGUGCGAGCGUUAAUCGGAUUUACUGGGCGUAAAGCGUGCGUAGGCGGCUUCUUAAGUCGGAUGUGAAAUCCCUGAGCUUAACUUAGGAAUUGCAUUCGAUACUGGGAAGCUAGAGUAUGGGAGAGGAUGGUAGAAUUCCAGGUGUAGCGGUGAAAUGCGUAGAGAUCUGGAGGAAUACCGAUGGCGAAGGCAGCCAUCUGGCCUAAUACUGACGCUGAGGUACGAAAGCAUGGGGAGCAAACAGGAUUAGAUACCCGAGUAGUCCCUGUCUCUUAUAC
rnacentral:rRNA from 1 species